AUUGAACGCUGGCGGCAGGCCUAACCCAUGCAAGUCGAACGAGUGGCGGACGGGUGAGUAAUGUCUGGGAAACUGCCUGAUGGAGGGGGCUAACUACUGGAAACGUUAGCUACUACCGCAUACCAUCAGAUGUGCCCAGAUGGGAUUAGCUUGUUGGUGGGGUAACGGCUCACCAAGGCGACGAUCCCGAGCUGGUCUGAGAGGAUGACCAGCCACACUGGAACUGAGACACGGUCCAGACUCCUACGGGAGGCAGCAGUGGGGAAUAUUGGACAAUGGGCGCAAGCCUGAUGCAGCCAUGCCGCGUGUAUGAAGAAGGCCUUCGGGUUGUAAAGCACUUUCAGUGGGGAGGCGUUACCCGCAGAAGAAGCACCGGCUAACUACGUGCCAGCAGCCGCGGUAAUUC
rnacentral:rRNA from 1 species